CUCGACUUGUUGAGAAAAGUUAUCGAUCAAGUAUGCAUAUGUGGUUCGCUAUAUCUUUCUGUAAUAUUUCUCAUCCUAUGUUUCGAAUUUCUUUUAUAUGAAGUGAGGGAAGUGAAAUGCAUAUAUGAAGAUAGUGAACUGAAAAUACCUUGAAUGGUUUUGUUGGUUGGUUAUUGUUUGAAUGAACUGAUACUUGAAAAUGCUUUGGCAGAAAAUGAUGAAGAGCAGUGCAGUCUUUCCU
rnacentral:lncRNA from 1 species